rnacentral:lncRNA from 1 species
AAUAACAAUAUUAUGCAUAAUAGUGACGUAAAAUCAAGGAAUAAUGAUAUGCAAUAUAUAUGUAUUUCACUAUUAGUUGUAACUUAAACUAAUAAAUGUCUGUUUAUUUAUAAUAAAUAAAUUAAUUACUUAGAAAUAUAUGUACGUUGUAUUUUUUUAGUAAAUUAAAUACAAGAAUAAUCAUAAGUUUUAUUAUUAGAAUGUUAUACUGCAGAAGUACUCUUAUCUUGCUGUUCUACGAUAUAGAUUUUAUUUAAUAUAAAAAACAUGUGGCCAUUUUUACUUUCGAUAUUUGCGCUGUUUCACUUAGCUUCAGCAUCAGGUAGUUUUGAUUUUGGUGACACAUUAGCAUUAAUUUUGGGUCUUAUUCUUGGAAUUAUGGGAUUUUUUGCUUGUAUGGGAGCCUAUGCAAGACGACGAAACCAAUUUGAAUCUUUGUGAUCAUGGGAAAUAUAUUUCAAUAAAAUUCAUAGGAUAUAAGAAAUAUUUAAAACUAUACAGGAGUCUAGAUUAAAAAUGCUUAAGAGGAGCAUCAUAUUGAAUUUAUAUUAAAACAAAUAUCAAGAAAAUAUUAAAAUUAUAUAAUAUUAACUACUUA